AAUCAAAACGUUCGAGAUGGUCUUUGUUGAUGAAUUGGGCACAUUCAUACAUGGCUCGGCCAAUGGUGAAUGGACGGAAAAUUUUAAGAGUAUUUUGACCGAUGAAGUGACUAUUCAACUAACAAAUUUCAAGUUGAUUUCGUAUUGGCUUAUCGGACAUCCAUCUAAAGUGGUCCAUAAAGAAGAUAAUACAAGAAAAAGAAGAUAAUACAAGAACGAGGAAGGUGAUGACUUUCAGGAUUAAUUUGCUUGUUACAGUAGUUAUUAGUAAAAUCACUAGCUGGGUGAACGGAGAUGUGCACACAAUUGAGACAGAGUUAACAACGGUGGAUGAGGCAGCACUGCAGCAGGUAGUACUAUACAACCUUGCAACUGCUCGAUAGUGUAGAAGCUGGUGACGCUAGUUCGGUGGGUAAAGAGGAGAAGAAGAAGGAGCUAGACGCGACGAGAAGCUGACCUCAAAUGAGAUAAAUUAUGCCAAUCUAUAAGUAUCUACACUUGUCUUCUGAUGUAUCUUGUUUUGCCUUGAUUAAUUUCCUUAAUUAUGUUCUA